rnacentral:tRNA from 1 species
GCCCUGGUGGUGCAGUGGUUAAAACAUUUGCUUGCUAACCAAAAGGUUGGUGGUUUGAACCCACCAGAGGACC